rnacentral:lncRNA from 1 species
AGAAGCAGGCGCUGGGCGGGGCCGAGCGUUUACCGCUUCCGGUGCCUGGCGCUGAGCCCGGAAGUGAGCUCCGCAAGGGCAUGGCUUGCCCUCCAGCUGGCGCAGGUCUUGAGGGGCGUUACCCCGGGGUAUCUCGGGGUUCCAAGGCAGGAAGACUGGCGUCCGAGAAGCAGAUACGAUGAGGAGGAAGAGGCUGAAAUGGGGUCUGCUGCAGUCACGGGACAGCAGGUGCUGGAAGCCAGAAAAGACGAAGAAACCAGCUGUCCCCAAGAAACAUGGCCGGGGCCAUCUGUAUUAUCAGUACUAUCGUGGAGGCAUUUUUGCUGGGUUGUUUACCGCCAUACUUCUGCCUGCAGAGGAAUCCCCGGCACACGGAAGAGUCCCCAGCGAGCUAUGCACCCGCCGCAUACGUGAAGAAAAGCAGGAAAGCGGCUCGGUGUGAGUUUCCAGCCUGCCCGGGAGGACUCUUCCCUCCGUGAGUUUCUACAGCUCAUUGUAUCUCCGGGCUGCACAGGCUGAAACUCCAGAGAGCGUUAAUGAUGUGCCUGGCGCCCCGGGGAGAUGCCCUGAACUUUCCAUGCGAGCUCUGGACUUGGCUGCUUCCGACUCCUCGUCCUGCUUAGGAAAACCCGAGGGCAAGGAAGGGAAAAAGUGAACACUUCACACAUUCAUCUUCAAAGCACUUAAUAAACGUUCAAGUAAUUAAUUCGCGCGGCUCCCUGGGAAGUGGGUUUUAUUGUCUCCGUCCUGGCAGCGGGAGAUGAGGAGGUCCAUCAUUUUCCCAGGGCCAUGGCUCGAGCCCAGAGCGGUGCCAGGGUCGCGCUGGCAGGCGCUGAGCUUCUGGCCAGGAGGCCUCCUGGUCCCUGGCGGUAGCCGCAGGAGCCAGCCGGACGGAGGGUGGCCGAGUGGGGCUUAGCAGACACCUCCCGGGGGACACGAGCGCUUCGCCAGGGCAGGCUGAGCCCAUGAGAGGACAGGGGUGCAGGGGUGCAGUCACUGGGCGGAGGCAGGGGCCUCCCCCGGGCCCCAUCCUGUUCCUUAGACUUCUCCUUUCUUCCAUAUCUGGGGCACCCGCUUCCCAUUCCGAUGUGUUCUAGAUCAGAGAUGCAGCGGAGGCUCCAUUAUCUCCUGUCAGUGACACUGUAGGCGCACUGAAGCAUCACUGUCCUGACAUCAGUUAUCCCAGCCAGGAUUUGCUCUGUGUUCGGGCCGGAAGUUAGGAGCCCUGAGGUUCAGGCCUCUCUG